ACGCUGGCGGCAGGCCUAACACAUGCAAGUCGAGCGGUAGAGAGAAGCUUGCUUCUCUUGAGAGCGGCGGACGGGUGAGUAAUGCCUAGGAAUCUGCCUGGUAGUGGGGGAUAACGUCCGGAAACGGACGCUAAUACCGCAUACGUCCUACGGGAGAAAGCAGGGGACCUUCGGGCCUUGCGCUAUCAGAUGAGCCUAGGUCGGAUUAGCUAGUUGGUGGGGUAAUGGCUCACCAAGGCGACGAUCCGUAACUGGUCUGAGAGGAUGAUCAGUCACACUGGAACUGAGACACGGUCCAGACUCCUACGGGAGGCAGCAGUGGGGAAUAUUGGACAAUGGGCGAAAGCCUGAUCCAGCCAUGCCGCGUGUGUGAAGAAGGUCUUCGGAUUGUAAAGCACUUUAAGUUGACAGGAAGGGCAGUAAAUUAAUACUUUGCUGUUUUGACGUUACCGACAGAAUAAGCACCGGCUAACUCUGUGCCAGCAGCCGCGGUAAUACAGAGGGUGCAAGCGUUAAUCGGAAUUACUGGGCGUAAAGCGCGCGUAGGUGGUUCGUUAAGUUGGAUGUGAAAUCCCCGGGCUCAACCUGGGAACUGCAUUCAAAACUGACGAGCUAGAGUAUGGUAGAGGGUGGUGGAAUUUCCUGUGUAGCGGUGAAGUGCGUAGAUAUAGGAAGGAACACCAGUGGCGAAGGCGACCACCUGGACUGAUACUGACACUGAGGUGCGAAAGCGUGGGGAGCAAAC
rnacentral:rRNA from 1 species